GCCUUGCCCUCCCCUCUCAACCCCACUGGGAUCCAACCAGCCUGGGCUCUUCUCAUCCCCACUGCCCCCCUAAAGGGAACAAAAGCCUCAGAGGAGGAGUGCCAUGCCCUUCUCCAGACUCCACAGGGCCACCCAAGUGACCAGACACAGGUGAGGCAGUGACUGUGCUGAAUAAGUGACCGGAUCCAGUAAUGGACUGGAUGAGGCUUUCUCUGAUUGGUAGACUGAUAAUUUCAGGCAUCUCUUACUUCUUACUUCUCUCCUUGAUACUAUGAAGACAGAAAAUUCAGGGACAAAGGCUUUUCUGUAUGUAACUUUCUCAAUAAAAC